rnacentral:rRNA from 1 species
AUCACCCUGUGACAUACCUAAAACGUUGCUUCGGCGGGAACAGACGGCCCUGUAACAACGGGCCGCCCCCGCCAGAGGACCCCUAACUCUGUUUUUAUAAUGUUUUUCUGAGUAAACAAGCAAAUAAAUUAAAACUUUCAACAACGGAUCUCUUGGCUCUGGCAUCGAUGAAGAACGCAGCGAAAUGCGAUAAGUAAUGUGAAUUGCAGAAUUCAGUGAAUCAUCGAAUCUUUGAACGCACAUUGCGCCCGCCAGUAUUCUGGCGGGCAUGCCUGUUCGAGCGUCAUUACAACCCUCAGGCCCCCGGGCCUGGCGUUGGGGAUCGGCGGAAGCCCCCUGUGGGCACACGCCGUCCCUCAAAUACAGUGGCGGUCCCGCCGCAGCUUCCAUUGCGUAGUAGCUAACACCUCGCAACUGGAGAGCGGCGCGGCCAUGCCGUAAAACACCCAACUUCUGAAUGUUGACCUCGAAUCAGGUAGGAAUACCCGCUGAACUUAAGCAUAUCAAUAAGCGGAGGA